rnacentral:rRNA from 1 species
GCCCAGACUCCUACGGGAGGCAGCAGUGAGGAAUAUUGGUCAAUGGGCGAGAGUCUGAACCAGCCAAGUAGCGUGAAGGAUGACUGCCCUACGGGUUGUAAACUUCUUUUAUAUGGGAAUAAAAUGUUCCACGUGUGGGAUUUUGUAUGUACCAUAUGAAUAAGGAUCGGCUAACUCCGUGCCAGCAGCCGCGGUAAUACGGAGGAUGCGAGCGUUAUCCGGAUUUAUUGGGUUUAAAGGGUGCGCAGGCGGAAUGUCAAGUCAGCGGUAAAAUUUCGGGGCUCAACCCCGUCGUGCCGUUGAAACUGGCGUUCUUGAGUGAGCGAGAAGUAUGCGGAAUGCGUGGUGUAGCGGUGAAAUGCAUAGAUAUCACGCAGAACUCCGAUUGCGAAGGCAGCAUACCGGCGCUCAACUGACGCUCAUGCACGAAAGCGUGGGUAUCGAACAGGAUUAGAUACCCCCGUAACA